rnacentral:rRNA from 1 species
GCAGAACGCGAAGAACCUUACCCACACUUGGCAUACCUCUUAGGGAUUUCAGAGAUGAUUUCUUUCGGUUCGGCCGGGGAGGAUACAGGUGCUGCAUGGCUGUCGUCAGCUCGUGUCGUGAGAUGUUGGGUUAAGUCCCGCAACGAGCGCAACCCUUAUCGUAUGUUGCCACCAUUUAGUUGGGCACUCAUGCGAGACUGCCGGUGACAAGCCGGAGGAAGGCGGGGACGACGUCAAGUCAUCAUGGCCCUUACGUGUGGGGCUAGAAACGUGCUACAAUGGUGGUGACAGUGAGCAGCGAGGUCGUGAGGCCAAGCUAAUCUCUAAAAGCCAUCUCAGUUCAGAUUGUAGUCUGCAACUCGACUACAUGAAGUUGGAAUCGCUAGUAAUCGCAAAUCAGCAUGUUGCGGUGAAUACGUUCCCGGGUCUUGUACACACCG